GUAAAUGCUAUGAAAAGGACAUGAGUUUUUCUUAACGGUUCACAGAGAGGGAAGGGUAGCUGGAAACUUCCUAAUGCUGCAGAAAAACUUACCCCCUUGGAGCAGUAUUGGUGAAAUCAUAGUAAUCAAUACCGUCGUUGCUACGUUACAGCAAAAUGAGCCGUCACUUUUGAAUGGUGAUGGGAAGUUGGGUGGAACCACGGGUAUAGAACGCACGCUCGUCCCUUCG
rnacentral:ncRNA from 1 species